rnacentral:rRNA from 1 species
AACGCUAGCUACAGGCUUAACACAUGCAAGUCGAGGGGUAACGAGAGGAAAGCUUGCUUUCCUUGUCGACGACCGGCGCACGGGUGAGUAACGCGUAUCCAACCUGCCCCCAACUAGGGAAUAACCUUGCGAAAGUAAGACUAAUACCCUAUAAUUUCCUCAGAUGUCAUCUGACGAGGAAUAAAGAUUUAUCGGUUGUGGAUGGGGAUGCGUCUGAUUAGCCUGUUGGCGGGGUAACGGCCCACCAAGGCAACGAUCAGUAGGGGUUCUGAGAGGAAGGUCCCCCACAUUGGAACUGAGACACGGUCCAAACUCCUACGGGAGGCAGCAGUGAGGAAUAUUGGUCAAUGGGCGGAAGCCUGAACCAGCCAAGUAGCGUGCAGGAUGACGGCCCUAUGGGUUGUAAACUGCUUUUAUACAGGAAUAAAGUUAGCCACGUGUGGUUAUUUGUAGGUACUGUAUGAAUAAGGACCGGCUAAUUCCGUGCCAGCAGCCGCGGUAAUACGGAAGGUCCAGGCGUUAUCCGGAUUUAUUGGGUUUAAAGGGAGCGUAGGCCGUCUGUUAAGCGUGUUGUGAAAUGUAGAUGCUCAACAUCUGAAUUGCAGCGCGAACUGGCAGACUUGAGUGUGCGCAACGUAGGCGGAAUUCGUGGUGUAGCGGUGAAAUGCUUAGAUAUCACGAAGAACUCCGAUUG